rnacentral:lncRNA from 1 species
GGCAACUAGCAAAGGCAGAAUGUGGUACUACGUUAUCCCAAGAAAGGAACAAAACUACACUAAAACACAACACAAGGAAAACAAAUUUUAAUCAGUUGAAUCAGAAGAUAAUCAAUGAAAGACUAAUAUAAUCGGACUGAACAAAGUUUAAACGGUUUAAAUAAAAAAAGACGCACCUGGAAUGCAAUGCCGCAAGAGAGAAAAAGGAAAGGAGGAAGACGAUGAUGUUUGCGAAACUGCGAGUCUACGGUUUAUUUAACAUGAAAUAAGGCGUCGUUUGCUACAGAAACCGACAUUUAUAGUCAAUUAGACGUCGGUUAUCUCACUAAUAUGAUGUCCAAGAUAACUUUUAAUCUGCCUUUUGCAUGCUCCUUAGACGUCGGACGCAAGGGGGGCCGACGUCUACUGCGCUGAUCGAAAUAACUUUUCAAUUCCAAUCAGGGAAGUAGACGAUGGUUGUCCUGGGGCACCGACGUCUAUAACAUUUUAGAUGUCGACCCCCUACUACUGGAUGUCGAAGUGCCUGCGAGUUUGGUGAGUAUCAUUAAUUACAGCCACAUAGACGUCGUUCCCCCAGAAACCAGAUGUCUAUAUGGCAGAAAUUGAUUGUCUUUCCGCCUUCAUGACAGGCCCAUUGACGUCAAGUUAAGGGAGCACAAACGUCUAUAACAUUAUAGACUUCGGUUAUUUAUUACGUGACAUCUAAGCGCCUCGGAAUCAGGUGAAGAACAUUAAUUGCAACUAGAUAGACGUCUGCCUCCCCCCCUCCCCCCCCCCUCACAACUGACGUUAAUGGGGUAGAAAAGACUGUCUUCUCGCCUACCUCAGGCCCUUGGACGUCUGGUUAGGGCAGAACAGACGUCUACUAUAUUAUAGACGUCGUGUGCCCUAGAAACCGACGUCUUGUUGACCAACUUAUUUACGGUAAUGCC